AUUGAACGCUGGCGGCAUGCCUUACACAUGCAAGUCGAACGGCAGCACGGGGCAACCUGGUGGCGAGUGGCGAACGGGUGAGAAAUGCAUCGGAACGUACCUUUCAGUGGGGGAUAACGUAGCGAAAGUUACGCUAAUACCGCAUAUUCUGUGAGCAGGAAAGCAGGGGAUCGCAAGACCUUGCGCUGAUUGAGCGGCCGAUGUCAGAUUAGCUAGUUGGUGAGGUAAAGGCUCACCAAGGCGACGAUCUGUAGCGGGUCUGAGAGGAUGAUCCGCCACACUGGAACUGAGACACGGUCCAGACGCCUACGGGAGGCAGCAGUGGGGAAUUUUGGACAAUGGGGGCAACCCUGAUCCAGCCAUGCCGCGUGAGUGAAGAAGGCCUUCGGGUUGUAAAGCUCUUUCGGCCGGGAAGAAAUCGCACGGGCUAAUACCCUGUGUGGAUGACGGUACCGGAAUAAGAAGCACCGGCUAACUACGUGCCAGCCGCCGCAGUAAAAC
rnacentral:rRNA from 1 species